rnacentral:rRNA from 1 species
UGGGGAAUAUUGGACAAUGGGCGAAAGCCUGAUCCAGCCAUGCCGCGUGUGUGAAGAAGGUCUUCGGAUUGUAAAGCACUUUAAGUUGGGAGGAAGGGCAUUAACCUAAUACGUUAGUGUUUUGACGUUACCGACAGAAUAAGCACCGGCUAACUCUGUGCCAGCAGCCGCGGUAAUACAGAGGGUGCAAGCGUUAAUCGGAAUUACUGGGCGUAAAGCGCGCGUAGGUGGUUUGUUAAGUUGGAUGUGAAAGCCCCGGGCUCAACCUGGGAACUGCAGCCAAAACUGGCAAGCUAGAGUACGGUAGAGGGUGGUGGAAUUUCCUGUGUAGCGGUGAAAUGCGUAGAUAUAGGAAGGAACACCAGUGGCGAAGGCGACCACCUGGACUGAUACUGACACUGAGGUGCGAAAGCGUGGGGAGCAAACA